GUUUUUCUGACAAGACUGGCUGCCAUCUCAGCAGCCAAGAAUCACAAGAAGCUUUCUGGCCUCUGUUUCAGCCGCUUCCCCCAAAUUCUGGAGUGCCUACUGCGUGCCUAGAACUGUGUCACGCACAGAACAAGGCAGAUGGACCCUAAGAAAAGGAAACAAGCAAUCACAGAAAAAGACCAGGGCAACCAGUCAAAUCUGAAUCUGCAGGUUGGUGAAAAUGCCAACAAAAUAUUGGAAGAAAGGCCAAUAUUUCAAGCACACCUUGCACAGAAAGCGGCUAUUUGAAUAUGAGAAGAAAUCUGGCCAUUUGUAGCUCAAGCUUGGACAGCCCCAUGAAGAGCAGAGUCUAAUGAAAUGAAGAGCCUUAACAACACCCUUCCACUGAGUCCCUGCCAAUCCUAGACCUGAUUUCUCUGGUGUCCACAGGGGAAGGCUGAGGGACUUCCCAGAGGCUGUCACCACUAAAAACCUGUCUAAACCGGCUUCCUUUGUGAGUCUUGAUUUCACUUUUACUCUUUCAGAUUCCCCACCCCCAAACUUCAGUUCUCUCCAAAGAGCAAUUUUAGGAAUGAACACCAGAGACCAAGGGCAAGGGGAAUGACACCUCCUCAGAGGAGAGGGCUAAAAAAUUCAGAGCCCAAGUUUUUCUUUACCAGCAGCCUCAAGGAUUCUUCUGGAAACCAAAAGGAGAGCAGAUUCGGGAAAGUAAGCCUAGGCCAACCCUGAUGGAGUUGUGGAACAGAGGCUAGGGUGGCAGGUAGGGA
rnacentral:lncRNA from 9 species